rnacentral:misc_RNA from 1 species
AAAACAAUAGGACUAUCCCCCGUGUUAGGGCUGAUAACCAAAAUUUUCUCCGAUCAAAUAUCGAAUCCCUAAUCGGCCGGAAGUAUGACGGUUGAGGUACCAAACACCGUCGGCUAUGCUAACGGAGAUUUGAAAUCCAAAAACACUGAUGCUAACGCCGGCUCUAGGAAAUCAAAGGCGAACGAGCGGGGCCGUAGGCGGCGGAAGCAGAAGAAAAACAAUAAGGUACCGUCUGGUAGAGUAGAUAGUGACACAGCCGCUGCCAAUGAAGCUAAUGGCGGUGUUGGUGAUACUGAUAAGGAGAAUUCCGAUCUGCAGAAGUCCCUGGUGGAGCAAGUUGAAGUGGAAUAUGUUCCAGAAAAGGCAGAAUUAGAUGGCGAGUUGGAUGAAGAAUUCAGGAAGGUUUUUGAAAAAUU